rnacentral:snRNA from 1 species
AUCGCUUCUCGGCCUUUUGGCUAAGAUCAAGUGUAGUAUCUGUUCUUAUCAGUUUAAUAGUCUGAUACGUCCCCUACCCGGGGACCAUAUAUUAAAUUGAUUUUUGGAUCAGGGAGCCGGAACGGGGGCUUGCUCCUUCCACUCCACGGCAUCGACCCGGUAUUGGCAUUACCUCCAGGUACGGUGCACAUUCU